rnacentral:lncRNA from 1 species
GGUCUUGACAAAAGAAGACCUCACUGAGGUCCUAGCAAAGGAAGACCUCGCUGAGGUCCUAGCAAAAGAAGACCUCACUGAGGUCCUAGCAAAAGAAGACCUCAAUGAGGCAGAAGACCUCAAAUAGGCAGAAGACCUUAAAGAGGCAGAAGACCUCACUGAGGUAGAAGACCUCACUGAGGUAGAAGACCUCACCGAGGCAGAAGACCUCAAUGAGGCAGAAGACCUCAAAAGAGGCAGAAGACCUCAAAGAGGCAGAAGACCUCAAUGAGGCAGAAGACCUCACUGUGGCAGANNNNNNNNNNNNNNNNNNNNNNAAGACCUCACUGAGGCAAAAGACCUCACUGAGGCAGAAGACCUCACUGAGGCAGAAAACCUCACUGAGGUAGAAGACCUCAAUGAGGCAGAAGACCUCACUGAGGUAGAAGACCGGCGAAGAUCUCAAAGAUCUCCCGGAGCAAAAAUAGCCGGAAUCCCCAAGAUCAUCCGGUGCUACAAGCAAAAACAACUCAUAAAGAACAUAGUUCUGAUCUCACAUAAAAGAUUGGGGCACGUGACCAUAAAUGAAAAAGCUAAACUCCGACCUCCCAAAGGAGCUCAAGUCAUCAGGUAGAGAGACUUUAAUCGCACACAACAGCCAAAAGUACCAAAGCAUCAUGCCGAUCUCAAGAAAACGAGCGCAGUACUGGUAAACCCGAUAAGACAGACCGAAUUAAGGCAAGGCGAUUCCUAAGCAAACUGCAUACCAAAAUACAAAGUCAAACAGAGAAUCAGGGGCAAUCAUGAGAGGCAACGACCUCGAGAAUUGACCGCUCACACUAAACCAACUCAGCUGACCUAGAGAAAGGUCCAAGCAACAAAGAACCCGCAAAACGCUCGAAAGAAGACAGCCCAUAAAUACUCAGGGGCAAAAAACAUACACAAGAGUCCAACGCUCAGGCAAAAAUAAUAAAAAGGCAUGAAAGGGAUACUUUCGACAGGAGUAGUUCUCAGACCACACGGUCAUGAAUAGAGUUUAAAGAUUUAUCCCCUCACCAGUCAUGGAAUAACUGCUGAGGAGAUAAAGGGGCAAUUGAUGAUCGCUGGAUUUCUUCACCCCGGUAUAAAGGCCAGGC